UUAAUAUGGUUUCGAUUUUUUUGGGUGAUUUGUUUGUUUUGGGGUGCUGAUGAUUAUUUUGUUUUGAUUUUGUAGGUUCUAUGCAAAGGAGAGUCUCAAUUGUUUUUCUGCCAUGGUUCCUGUAUCUAUUAUUUGCUAUUGGUUUCGUGUUCUAUUGUUAUUCAGAUUGGAGAAGCUUUUCUGGAUCCUAAAUCACUAUCAUCAUUCUGAACUGGAAAUGAUAUACUAUAUUGGAUGAGUAUUUCAAAGCUUAUUAUGCUGCUUUAAGAAAAAUACGAGAAGAAGAAGCAGCAAAGAGUCGUCAGGUUGGCAUGAAGUCAAAACUUUGAAGAUGAAAAGCAAGAUAAGGUUGACUGUGAAGAGGCUCCAGUUGCAGUAUUUUUCCCUACUCAUUUGACAAGGUCUCCUUUGUAAUACACACCCCAGAAACAUUGGUAUCUUGCUGGUCAUUAGAUGAUUUGAAUUGAGGGAAUAUUGUUGGGCUGGAAAUGGAGAUGCAUGAGAGCUUUCCAACUAUUGACAAAAGGACAUGCAAUUCUCAAAAAGAGGCUCAAGGCUUAUUUUCAGAAUAAGGACAAGUAUGAUGUUAGAGAUUCGUAUGAGCAGAAAGCUAAGGAGAGUUCAAAGUCGAUUAGUAACUAGAGGCCGAGCUUGAACUUGAACUUCAGAGGAAGAGAUUGUCUAUUGCAGCACUUCAAUCCGCAAAUUUCCAACACAUAAUGGUUGGUGGUAUAAAGGAUGGGCAAGCUGUUUCCGACAACUAAAAGUAAAGGAAAAUAGCGGUGAACUCAUUUGUGUACACCAUGGCAUACGGACACCUCAUCCCUGUUACAGAGUCCACAUGACCAUUGAGGAUGCUGAUAAUCAAGCAACAGUUAUGCUGAUCGGAAAACAAGCAGAACAAUUCUUUGGAAGCAGGGCAGCUGCAGCUGCAACUACAGCAACUAUUCUUUUUGUACAAGUGCAAUCAACCAAUUCGUUGGAGAGUAUGUU